GAUGAACGCUGGCGGCGUGCCUAAUACAUGCAAGUCGAGCGAACGGACGAGACUCUUGCUUCUCUCAUGUUAGCGGCGGACGUGUGAGUAACACGUGUAUACCCUACCUAUAUUACUGGUAUAACUUCGGGAAACCGGAUCUAAUACCGGAGAAUAUUUUGAACCGCAUGGUUCAAAAGUGAAAGACGGUCUUGCUGUCACUUAUAGAUGGAUCCGCGCUGCAUUAGCUAGUUGUUAAGGUAACGGCUUACCAAGGCAACGAUGCAUAGCCGACCGGAGAGGGUGAUAGGCCGCCUGGGAACUGAGCCACGGUCAAGACUCCUGCGGGAGGCAGCAGUAGGGAACGUGACGCAAUGGGCGAGAGUAUGACGGAGCAACGGCGAGUGAGUGACGAAAGUCCUCGGAGCGUAAAGCUCUGUUACUAGGGAAGAACAUAUGUGGAAGUAGACGUGCACAUCUUGACGGUAACUAAUCAGAAAGCAACGGCUAACUACGUG
rnacentral:rRNA from 1 species